CUGGUAGUGUUGUCUGUCCUCUGUGACUUCACCACCACUGUUAAAUCUGAGAUCAACAUCUUUAAUAAAGGAAUAUACAACAUGGAUCACUAUCACUACUGCUGCUGCUGUUGUCUUUCAUAUGGACAAUAUGGAGGAAUACUAGCAACACUGGAUCUAAUGCUGGACUGUAUAUACAGACUAGGAGAACACCUGAUACACAGAAGAAGGAGAAAUACUAAUAUCUGGAUUGAAGAUACAAUACAUAUUUGUAUUAUCUAGAAACAGCUUAUAUAAAGUGUUUGUUUUACCUGGAAGAUGUUAAAGUGUAUUAGUGUUGAUUGUGAUUCUGUAUGAGUGAUCUUCACUGUAACAGCUGCAGCAUCACAACACAGAGAGGUUUUUGUACCAGCAGUAACAGGGAUUGUAUCACUGUGGUGGACUUUUGGUAGCGGCACCAGACUUGAUGUUGGAAGUAACAGUUCCCCAACCCUCACCGUCCUGCCCCCCUCUAGUGAGGAGCUGUCCAGUACAACAACAGCCACACUGAUGUGUCUGGCCAACAAGGGCUUCCCCUCAGACUGGACCAUGAGCUGGAAAGUGGACGGGACCAGCAAGAAGCAGGAGGCCAGUCCCGGGGUCCUGGAGAAGGACGGCCUGUACAGCUGGAGCAGCACACUGACUCUCACUGCCCAGGAGUGGACCAAGGCAGGAGAGGUGACCUGUGAAGCCCAGCAGAAAUCACAGACUCCAGUCACCAAGACCCUGAGGAGGGCUGACUGUUCUGGGUAGGACCCCUCAGUCACACACCCCUGUGGUUCUGGGUAGGACCCCUCAGUCACACACCCCUGUGGAGAGAGGAUGCUGGUUCCUCUGCUUUGACUUACUUUGUUCUAAAAUCAGUCGUUCUCUGAUUUAGAGAUCACUCUGGUGUGGACUAACAGGGGGCUUGGCUUGAGUUCAUGUGUCAAUCCAUUCUGUAGAUUGAGAUUUUGUUCGUUUUAGAUUUGAUGUAAUCUGCUUUUAUUCACUAUCAUGUUUGCUUUGAUGCUUCGAUUGUGUGAUAAUGGAUUAAAAUAAAGAUUUCUUUUUGGAAUGCA